rnacentral:rRNA from 1 species
UACGUAGGGGGCUAGCGUUGUCCGGAAUCAUUGGGCGUAAAGCGCGCGUAGGCGGCCCGGUAAGUCCGCUGUAAAAGUCAAAGGCUCAACCUUUGAAUGUCAGUGGAUACUGCCGGGCUAGAGUCCGGAAGAGGCGAGUGGAACUCCUGGUGUAGCGGUGGAAUGCGCAGAUAUCAGGAAGAACACCAGUGGCGAAGGCGGCUCACUGGCCCGAUACUGACGCUGAGGUGCGAAAGCGUGGGGAGCAAACAGG